rnacentral:rRNA from 1 species
UGUGCCCUUGAGGCGUGGCUUCCGGAGCUAACGCGUUAAGUCGACCGCCUGGGGAGUACGGCCGCAAGGUUAAAACUCAAAUGAAUUGACGGGGGCCCGCACAAGCGGUGGAGCAUGUGGUUUAAUUCGAUGCAACGCGAAGAACCUUACCUACUCUUGACAUCCAGAGAAUUCGCUAGAGAUAGCUUAGUGCCUUCGGGAACUCUGAGACAGGUGCUGCAUGGCUGUCGUCAGCUCGUGUUGUGAAAUGUUGGGUUAAGUCCCGCAACGAGCGCAACCCUUAUCCUUUGUUGCCAGCACGUAAUGGUGGGAACUCAAAGGAGACUGCCGGUGAUAAACCGGAGGAAGGUGGGGAUGACGUCAAGUCAUCAUGGCCCUUACGAGUAGGGCUACACACGUGCUACAAUGGCGUAUACAAAGAGAAGCGAACUCGCGAGAGCCAGCGGACCUCAUAAAGUACGUCGUAGUCCGGAUCGGAGUCUGCAACUCGACUCCGUGAAGUCGGAAUCGCUAGUAAUCGUAGAUCAGAAUGCUACGGUGAAUACGUUCCCGGGCCUUGCACUCACCGCCCGUCA